UUUCCGGUUGAUCCUGCCGGAGGUCACUGCUAUUGGGAUUCGACUAAGCCAUGCGAGUCGAGAGGGUUCGGCCCUCGGCUGACGGCUCAGUAACACGUGGAUAAUCUGCCCUUAGGUGGAGGAUAAUCUCGGGAAACUGAGAAUAAUACUCCAUAGAUCUAGGAUGCUGGAAUGCACUUAGAUUGAAAGCUCCGGCGCCUAAGGAUGAGUCUGCGGACUAUCAGGUUGUGGUCAGGGUAAUGACCUGACUAGCCUACGACGGAUACGGGUUGUGAGAGCAAUAACCCGGAGACGAUAUCUGAGACACGAUAUCGGGCCCUACGGGGCGCAGCAGGCGCGAAAACUACACACUGUGCGAAAGCACGAUGAGGGAAUCCCAAGUGCCAACUCGUAAGAGCUGGCUGUUUCUCUGUCUAAAAAAUAGAGAGAGUAAGAGCUGGGUAAGACGGGUGCCAGCCGCCGCGGUAAUACCUGCAGCUCAAGUGGUGGCCACUAUUAUUGGGCCUAAAACGUCCGUAGCCGGUUUAAUAAAUGCCGGGGUAAAUCGUGUAGCUUAACUAUACGAAUUCCGGGUAGACUGUUAGACUUGAGACCGGGAGAAGCUAGAGGUACUCCUGGGGUAGAGGUGAAAUUCUGUAAUCCUAGGGGGACCACCAGUGGCGAAGGCGUCUAGCUAGAACGGGUCUGACGGUGAGGGACGAAGCCCUGGGGCGCAAACCGGAUUAGAUACCCGGGUAGUCCAGGGUGUAAACGCUGCUUGCUUGAUGUUAGUUGGGCUCCGAGCCCAAUUAGUGUCGGAGAGAAGUUGUUAAGCAAGCUGCCUGGAAGUACGGGCGCAAGACUGAAACUUAAAGGAAUUGGCGGGGGAGCACAGCAACGGGUGGAGCGUGCGGUUUAUUGGAAUCACGCGGA
rnacentral:rRNA from 1 species